AAUCAACGCUGGCGGCGUGCCUCAGACAUGCAAGUCGAACGCGAAAGGCUCCUUCGGGGGCCGAGUAGAGUGGCGCACGGGUGAGUAACACGUAGGUAAUUUGCCUUUGGGUGGGGAAUAACUCAGGGAAACUUGAGCUAAUACCGCAUAAUGCAGCGGCUCGACAUCGAGACAGUUGUUAAAGCGGGGGAUCGCAAGACCUCGCGCCUGAAGAGAAGCCUGCGGCAGAUUAGCUAGUUGGUAGGGUAAUGGCCUACCAAGGCGACGAUCUGUAACCGGCCUGAGAGGGCGGUCGGUCACACUGACACUGACAUACGGGUCAGACUCCUAUGGGAGGCAGCAGUCGGGAAUUUUGGGCAAUGGGCGCAAGCCUGACCCAGCAACGCCGCGUGAAGGAUGAAAUCCCUCGGGAUGUAAACUUCGCAAGAAUGGGAAGAAUAAGUAGGGGACAAUACCCCUAUGAUGACGGUACC
rnacentral:rRNA from 1 species